UAUUGCAACCUAGACCAUCUCUCUGGGAGAAACCUUUGUGCACAUAUAUUUUCUGUGGUGCUGUGUGUGUGUCUCGUUUGCGUUACUCACUGCCAAGUCCUUGCAUGGUUCGAGGACUUAGACUUGUCGAGGAAUGGUAAUAAGGACUGAAGACAGACAGAUGGGCGUACAGAAAGAAAGCUGGGAUGAGGUGAUCCGGACUCCCUGCUGGAGAAACCUCAGCACCCUGGAAGCUCAGUGUGUUUAUUAUAGAGUUGAAGAGAGGCGGGGUGACUGCAUACAGCUGAACAAGGACUGAACUAUUGUACACAGAUCAACAAGGUGGCAUGGUUGGUCGUGGCUGUAUCAAGCAGACAGGUUUAGCUAAUCUUGGUAUGAGUACUCUCUGUGGGGGUGAUCAAUGAAUGAUUCAAGAAGAUGCCAGACUUUCUCAGAUCGAUCAUGAAGUUCAUACAAAGUUGAGCUGCGUCGGAGAAUUGUACACUGUUAUGUAAUUUAAUUGUAUGAACAUCUCUCCUCUGUGGCUUUCUGAUCUGAACGGGCUCAAGGCCCUUUUCUCUAUAGUCUCAUCCUCAUAGUCUGUGCAGAUUCUUUUAGGAACUGUUUUUAUAAAACAGUGUCUUACUAUGUAGUCCAGCCUGACCUCCUGCCUCAGACUCUCCAGAACUGGAAUUACAGGCAUGAAUCACA
rnacentral:lncRNA from 1 species